ensembl:lncRNA
GUCAGAAGCUUCUUCAUCAGCCCUGGGAGAACUGAGAGGAGUGUCUGGGACACCCACUGGCAGGCCCAGGGCAGUGCCUCACAGGUUGGAGGGAGCUUUAUUUAACCAACAACCUCUGAAGGGACAGACAGAUGCAUCAGGUUAUUUUAGGCGAUGGAAUUGACAUCAGCUCACUCUCUUAUUUGCAUAUCCACCCAACAAUUUCUGGUUAAAAUUUGGCUUCUUAAAUGGGUCUACCUAUAGGAAGAGAUUUCUCUGGUCUUGUUGUCACAAGUAUUAUCAGCCUGUUACAAUUGUGUUUACCAUUAUAAAGUGAAAGAUAAGGGUAGUAGUUCUAGAAAUGAUUCCUGAGUUUGAUUAAAGCAGAUAUACCUCUCAGAUAUGGGUCCGUUCUUGGCAGGCUGACGAAUCAGACCUCGGAAAGUGCUCGUGAGGCCCUGUCUGGCCCUGAGCCAGCAACUCAACAGGUCUUCCCCUCUGUUCACCUCCUUUGACUUUUCAUUGACUGAGCUUCUGCUCCAGUGUUGUUUAAGCAGUUGUAGUGUACAUUUGUAGUAAGACAACAGGAGAAAUACAGUUGGGAUCUUAGUAAUUACUGCAAAAAGAUGCUAAGGUCCAAAUAAGAACAGUGUAAUUAGAGAAGGAUAUAGAUGCUGCUGCUCGUAAUGAUGAAUAGCAUUAAUUGGGGACUUAAAAAUGGGUCAGGCAUUGUGUUACAUACUUUAAAUGAAUUAUUUCAUUUACUUCUAACAACCCCCUGAGGAAGGUACGUUAUUAUAUACAAUUUACCACUGGGGAAAUUCAGGGUCUAGAAGUCUAAUGACUUAGCCAAGGCUAGACAUUUGGUAUAAGUGGAGCCAAAUUUGCAAGUCUAGGCAGGUCAAGUCUUUGCUCCAACUCUUAGACAUAAUGCUCCAUGAAGGAGCUGAAAGGAGGCUGUGGAAGAGAAGCUAAGGGGAACUUGCAUUUCAGCUUCAGGAGCUGAUGUUCCUAGUUUCUUUGUGAUCCAGGUACAGGCAAACCUUGGAGAUAGGGUAGGUUGAGUUCCAGACCCCACUAGUAAAGGGAAUAUCCACAAUAAAGUGAGUCACAAAAGUUUUUUGGUCUCCCAUUGCAUCCAAAAGAUAUGUUUACACUGUACUGUAGUCUAUUUAGUUUACCAUUAUGUCCUAAGAAAACAAUGUACAUACCUUAAUUAAAAUUAAAACACUUUAUCGCUGAAAAAUGCUAAUCAUCAUCUGAGCCUUCAGUGGGCUGUAGUCUUUUUGCAGUUACAACAUUAAAGGCCACUGAUCACAGAUCACCAUAGCAAACAUAAUAAUAAAAAGAAGCUUGAAAUAUUUUGAGAAUUAACCAGAAUGUGACACAGAGAUAGGACGUGAGCAAAUGCCAAUGAAAAAAAGACGCCAUAGACUUGCUUGAGGCAAGGUUGUCACAGACCUUCAGUUUGUAAAAAAAAACCACAAUAUCUGUGAAGUGUAACAAAUGCCUGUAUUUGUUGUUACUGUUGUGACCCCAUGGACUGUAGCCCACCAGGCUCCUCUGUCCAUGAGAUUUUCCCUGCAAGAAUAUGGAGUGGGUUGCUAUUCCCUUCUCCAGAUGAUCUUCCCCACCCAGGGAUCGAACCUGCCUCUUCUGCAUUGGCAGGAGGAUUCUCUACUGCUGAGCCCCCAGGGAAACCCAAAUUCCUGUAUAUUAUUAACUUUUCCUUCCAACCAGUCAGUGUUUGAUUCCAUUCAUGGCUUACCACUUAGGAGAGAAUCUUCUAAGAGAACUAGAUGAGAAUUGAAAGGGACAGGGACAUACUGAUGAGGAAGGGGUCAAAGAAAAUACUUGUGUGCAGAAAAGAUAAAAAAUUUAAGAAGUGGUGAACAUAGAAGAAAAAAGGGGGAAAGUAAGUUUGACCACUCCUAACCUUAUUAAGGGAGGAAAAAAAGAGUAGAUCAGACGUUAGUUAUUAGAAAAAUCUUGUUUCUGUUUGGCCAGCAGGUGAGGGGUAGGAGAAGUGUGCUCAGCUGCCUGUCAGUCUGUAUGUUCCCUGGUUUGUAACUGCAAGUCCUUGCUCUUGCUUUUGAGCUCUGGAAGGGUUUUAUUGCUUUUAUAAACUACUAGCUCUCUUCUUUUAGGGGGAAAUAACAGAUGGUCAUGUUGGAACUGAGCUUUUCAUCUGAAUCUUCAAAACCUUUUUGUACACAAUUUAUGAGGUUCACUUCUUUGCAAAUUCAGGGCUUUCUUGUUGCUUUUCCUUUUGAGAUGAGCCACGAGAGCCUCAUUUUUGUUGGGCAUUGCCUAUUAGCAGCAAAACUCCUUUCUUAUUUAAUCAGCUUCUCCAAAGGAAUAAGGCUGAGUUCAAAUAACGUUCUAUUUAUGAGGGUGAAAAGAUUUUGGCGGUCUGACUAAAAAUAACACGUGGAAUCUGCCACCUGGGUCUCCCUUCCAUAUUCAUCCUGUGUUUUAAUGCUUUUUUGCUCAUGGAGUUCAAGCUGACCCCGACCUGGCUGCAUGUUUGGGAGGCCAGGCUGCCAUAGCCCCAAAUCUUGGUCUUUUGGAGUUCAGAAUGUACUGAGGAUAGUUGCACCUGCUCUCUGUUGAGUGAAAAAAUAGAUAGGAGUGAAAUAGUACUGCCUAUGAAAAAAACCCUAGGAAAUGUAUGUUUUUUCAUAAUUACUAAAAAUCUGAAAAAUAGUUUGAUACACACUAGGCUCAGAAAACAACCAACCAAACCAAACCAAAAUCAGCUUUGCAGAGUUAAGCACAUUCAGAGCUCAUUUUGUUCUCCAAGCUAAUUUCCAAAAUCACUUGGAAUUAAUACCAUUCUGAUAUAUUAUUCAGAUCCCUGAGUGGACCAGAAAUACUUGUAGCCAGCUUUUGUGCAGUCUCUGAAUACUGCUUAGGCUUAAGGAUGGCAGGAUGGUUUAGUGGCUAAGAACCCAGGCUCUGGAGUCCAACUCUGGGUAUCAUAUAGGGUCUGACACUUAAGAGCUAUGUGACUUUGGGUUAAUGAUUCAGGUCCUUUAAGCCCUUCAGAUCUUUGCUGCUGCAGAAUAGACAUAACAGGUGUUGCUAGGGUGGUUACAAGAGUGAAGUCAUAUACAUAAACAUAUGCAUCUGUACACCCACAUACACUUGACCCUUGAAGAACGUGGAGGGCUGAGGAUGGUAACGCCCAUGCGGUCAAGUCUCCUGUAACUUCGCAGUCUGCCCUCUUGAUGUGCGCUUCUGUGCUCACAGAUUCAACCAACCUCAGUUAGUACUGUUUGUUCAUAUUUAGUGAAAAAAGAAUCUUUGUAAGUGGAUCCAUGCAGUUCAGACUUGUGUGGUUCAGGUGUCAACUGUAUAUGUGUCUAUAUAUUGCAUAACAUAUAUAUGUGUGUUAUUAACAUAUAUGAAGUGUUGGCAUAUAGAGAAUAGGCACAAUAAACUGCAGCUGUGUUGUUGUUCAGUUGCAGUCUUUGCUUCUGUGUUAUCUUUGUGAAGGAAGAAAUACUGUUUGUAGGGUUGGGGACUGCUUGCUUUAAUUAUUUUGGCUGAAGGGAGAAGACUAAGUUUAUGGUAAAAAUCUAAAAGUCUCUUCUGGAAAUUCUGUAAACUGCCCUUCCGUUUUGAAGAAUCAUGAAGGGAUCUGAAAAAUUCUGCAUUAAAGAAACCUAUUUAAAUUCUUAUAUGGUGAUUUGAUCACUAAAACCGUUCCCCCCCCCCCCCC